UACGUAGGGGGCAAGCGUUAUCCGGAUUUACUGGGUGUAAAGGGAGCGUAGGCGGUCUGACAAGUCAGAAGUGAAAACCCGGGGCUCAACUCCGGGACUGCUUUUGAAACUGCCGGACUAGAUUGCAGGAGAGGUAAGUGGAAUUCCUAGUGUAGCGGUGAAAUGCGUAGAUAUUAGGAGGAACACCAGUGGCGAAGGCGGCUUACUGGACUGUAAAUGACGCUGAGGCUCGAAAGCGUGGGGAGCAAACAGG
rnacentral:rRNA from 1 species